GACGAACGCUGGCGGCGUGCUUAACACAUGCAAGUCGAACGAAGUGGAGAACGGGUGAGUAACGCGUAAUCAACCUGCCCUUCAGCGGGGGACAACAGUAGGACACGACUGCUAAUACCGCAUACUGAAGGAGGGGACUGCGUCGGAUUAGCUAGUUGGAGGGGUAACGGCCCACCAAGGCGAGGAUCAGUAGCCGGUCUUGAAGGAUGAACAGCCACAUUUGGACUGGGACACGGCCCAGACUCCUACGGGGUGCAGCAGUGGGGAAUCUUCCGCAAUGGACGAAAGUCUUACGGAGCAACGCCGCGUGAGUGAUGACGGCCUUCGGGUUGUAAAGCUCUGUUAAUCGGGACGCGGUACCGGAAUAGAAAGCCACGGCUAACUACGUGCCAGCAGCCGCGGUAAUAC
rnacentral:rRNA from 1 species